CCUACGGGUGGCAGCAGUGGGGAAUAUUGGGCAAUGGAGGAAACUCUGACCCAGCAACGCCGCGUGAAUGAUGAAGGUCUUCGGAUUGUAAAGUUCUUUUCUAAGGGAAGAAGAAAGUGACGGUACCUUAGGAAUAAGCCUCGGCUAACUACGGGCCAGCAGCCGCGGUAAUACGUAGGAGGCGAGCGUUAUCCGGAAUGACUGGGCGGAAAGGGUGCGUAGGUGGUUUGGCAAGUUAGUAGCGUAACUCCAAGGCUCAACCUUGGAACUGCUACUAAUACUGGUGGACUUGAGUGCAAGAGGGGCAAGCGGAAUUCCAAGUGUAGCGGUGGAAUGCGUAGAUAUUAGGAAGAACACCAGUGGCGAAGGCAGGUUACUAGACUGAAACUGACGCUGAGGCACGAAAGCGUGGGGAGCAAACAGGAUUAGAUACCCGGGUAGUC
rnacentral:rRNA from 1 species